rnacentral:rRNA from 1 species
GAUGAACGCUAGCGGCAGGCCUAACACAUGCAAGUCGAGGGGUAGAAGUUGCUUGCAACUUUGAGACCGGCGCACGGGUGCGUAACGCGUAUGCAAUCUGCCUUGUACUGAGGGAUAGCCCAGAGAAAUUUGGAUUAAUACCUCAUAGUAUUAUGGUGUGGCAUCACAUUAUAAUUAAAGUUCCAACGGUACAAGAUGAGCAUGCGUCCCAUUAGUUAGUUGGUAAGGUAACGGCUUACCAAGACGAUGAUGGGUAGGGGUCCCGAGAGGGAGAUCCCCCACACUGCUACUGAGACACGGACCAGACUCCUACGGGAGGCAGCAGUGAGGAAUAUUGGUCAAUGGGCGCAAGCCUGAACCAGCCAUGCCGCGUGCAGGAUGACGGUCCUAUGGAUUGUAAACUGCUUUUAUACGGGAAGAAACACUCCUACGUGUAGGAACUCGACGGUACCGUAAGAAUAAGGAUCGGCUAACUCCGUGCCAGCAGCCGCAGUAACAC